UACGUAGGGUGCAAGCGUUAAUCGGAAUUACUGGGCGUAAAGCGUGCGCAGGCGGUUCCGCAAGUCAGAUGUGAAAUCCCCGGGCUCAACCUGGGAACUGCAUUUGAAACUACGAGCUAGAGUGUGUCAGAGGGGGGUAGAAUUCCACGUGUAGCAGUGAAAUGCGUAGAGAUGUGGAGGAAUACCGAUGGCGAAGGCAGCCCCCUGGGAUGACACUGACGCUCAUGCACGAAAGCGUGGGGAGCAAACAGG
rnacentral:rRNA from 1 species